rnacentral:rRNA from 1 species
CCUACGGGCGGCAGCAGUGGGGAAUAUUGGACAAUGGGGGCAACCCUGAUCCAGCCAUGCCGCGUGUGUGAAGAAGGCCCUCGGGUUGUAAAGCACUUUCAGUGAGGAAGAACGCCUGGUGGUUAAUACCCAUCAGGAAAGACAUCACUCACAGAAGAAGCACCGGCUAACUCCGUGCCAGCAGCCGCGGUAAUACGGAGGGUGCGAGCGUUAAUCGGAAUUACUGGGCGUAAAGCGCGCGUAGGUGGCUUGAUAAGCCGGUUGUGAAAGCCCCGGGCUCAACCUGGGAACGGCAUCCGGAACUGUGAAGCUAGAGUGCAGGAGAGGAAGGUAGAAUUCCCGGUGUAGCGGUGAAAUGCGUAGAGAUCGGGAGGAAUACCAGUGGCGAAGGCGGCCUUCUGGACUGACACUGACACUGAGGUGCGAAAGCGUGGGUAGCAAACAGGAUUAGAUACCCUAGUAGUC